ACUCCUACGGGAGGCAGCAGUGAGGAAUAUUGGACAAUGGGUGGAAGCCUGAUCCAGCCAUCCCGCGUGCAGGAAGACGGCCCUAUGGGUUGUAAACUGCUUUUAUCUGGGGAUAAACCUACUUACGUGUAAGUAGCUGAAGGUACCAGAAGAAUAAGCACCGGCUAACUCCGUGCCAGCAGCCGCGGUAAUACGGAGGGUGCAAGCGUUAUCCGGAUUUAUUGGGUUUAAAGGGUCCGUAGGCGGACUGAUAAGUCAGUGGUGAAAUCCGACAGCUUAACUGUCGAACUGCCAUUGAUACUGUUAGUCUUGAGUAAGGUUGAAGUGGCUGGAAUAAGUAGUGUAGCGGUGAAAUGCAUAGAUAUUACUUAGAACACCAAUUGCGAAGGCAGGUCACUAAGUCUUAACUGACGCUGAUGGACGAAAGCGUGGGGAGCGAACAGGAUUAGAAACCCCAGUAGUCCCAUG
rnacentral:rRNA from 1 species